UCUUUAUAUUAAGUUUAAUAAUUUUAUUUAAGAUUUUUUUUAUGAUUAUUAUUUUUAUUAUUGUAUUGGGGUAAUAGGAAGAUUAAUAAAAUUCUUUUUAAAUUAUUACAAUAAUUAUUGUUUAUUUGAUCCUUAAUUUAAGAUAAUAAGAUUAAGA
rnacentral:rRNA from 1 species